AGUGAACGCUGGCGGUAGGCCUAACACAUGCAAGUCGAACGGCAGCACAGUAAGAGCUUGCUCUUACGGGUGGCGAGUGGCGGACGGGUGAGGAAUACAUCGGAAUCUACUUUUUCGUGGGGGAUAACGUAGGGAAACUUACGCUAAUACCGCAUACGACCUACGGGUGAAAGCAGGGGAUCUUCGGACCUUGCGCGAUUGAAUGAGCCGAUGUCGGAUUAGCUAGUUGGCGGGGUAAAGGCCCACCAAGGCGACGGUCCGUAGCUGGUCUGAGAGGAUGAUCAGACACAGUGGAACAGAGACACGGUCCAGACUGCUACGGGGGGAAGCAGUGGGGAAUAUUGGACAAUGGGCGCAAGCCUGAUCCAGCCAUAGCGCGUGGGUGAAGAAGGCCUUGGGGUUGUAAAGCCCUUUUGUUGGGAAAGAAAAGCAGCAGGUUAAUACCCCGAUGUUCUGACGGUACCCAAAGAAUAAGCACCGGCUAACUUCG
rnacentral:rRNA from 1 species